rnacentral:rRNA from 1 species
CCUACGGGUGGCAGCAGUAGGGAAUAUUGCUCAAUGGGGGAAACCCUGAAGCAGCAACGCCGCGUGGAGGAUGAAGGUUUUCGGAUUGUAAACUCCUUUUGUUAGAGAAGAUAAUGACGGUAUCUAACGAAUAAGCACCGGCUAACUGCGUGCCGGAAGCCGUGGUAACACGGCGGGUGCAAGCGUUAUUCGGAAUCACUGGGCGUAAUGAGCGCGUAGGCGGGAUAGCAAGUCAGAUGUGAAAUCCUAUGGCUUAACCAUAGAACUGCAUUUGAAACUGUUAUUCUAGAGUAUGGGAGAGGUAGGUGGAAUGCGUGGUGUAGUGGUAAAAUGCAUAGAGAUCAAGAGGAAUACUCAUUGCGAAGGCGGCCUACUAGAACAUAACUGACGCUGAUGCGCGAAAGCGUGGGGAGCAAACAGGAUUAGAUACCCUAGUAGUC